rnacentral:tmRNA from 1 species
GGGGAUGUCAUGGAUUUGACAGGAUAUCUUUAGUACAUAUAAGCAGUAGUCUUGUAGACUAUAAAUACUACUAGGUUUAAAAAAACGCAAAUAAAAACGAAGAAACUUUUGAAAUGCCAGCAUUUAUGAUGAAUAAUGCAUCAGCUGGAGCAAACUUUAUGUUUGCUUAAUAACUACUUAGUUUAGUUAUAGUAUUUCACGAAUUAUAGAUAUUUUAAGCUUUAUUUAUAACCGUAUUACCCAAGCUUAAUAGAAUAUAUGAUUGCAAUAAAUAUAUUUGAAAUCUAAUUGCAAAUGAUAUUUAACCUUUCGUUAAUUUUAGUUAAAUAUUUUAAUUAGAAAAUUAACUAAACUGUAGAAAGUAUGUAUUAAUAUAUCUUGGACGCGAGUUCGAUUCUCGCCAUCUCCACCA